AAGUUUAACUCUUUUAAGCUGUGAAAUCCAUUUUGCUGAGGCUUGGUACCUAGUAUAGGUACCUGCAGUAUAGGCAGCACCUGCUCAUCUAUCACCCUUGGCAAAUCCCAGGCUUAAGAACCAAAGCAGGAACUAGAAGCAGCAUGGCAACAAUUUUUGAAUUUAUAUUAAUCCUUUAUUGCCAAUUGCUGAAAAAGGUGAAUUUUGAGUCAUGCCUUGUCAUACCCAGCCAGCAAAGGGUGUAAGCUAAUCGUUAAAUUCAGUUCAACAAGUUACUCAUUAGGGUGAAAUUACCUGAGUUUGAAAUCUGCUAAUUUUCCAAUCAAGCAUUGCCUUUAAACUCCUAAGACCUCCAAGCAGAGCCUUCCACAAAAAAGAAAGCCAUCAAAGGCAGGGAAGAUUUAAACGACAUCUGAUCUCCCAAAGCUUUGUGAAGCAGCAUUCUUCAGGCAGAAAGGCUGCCUCAAGAAGCCCUGGGAUGGAAAUGUGGCUCUUUCUGGGCAGCUCUGUCUUCUCGCUGGUCCACAGAUAUCGAUGGCAACUGUUUGCACUGAGAUAGGAAUUGUGUUCCAGGUAGUUGUGAGUCAGCUCUCAGGAAUUCCCUUACUGGACUAGUAUCUCUGGCAUUUAGAGGAAGCAUUUGUGAUGUGUGUCCAUGCCCAUUCACACUGCUAGAACUGCUACACAGAGGUGGUAGGGAUUUGCAUUUUCAUGCAAGCAGAUGACUCCCUUUCUUGGUCAGUUUUGCUUUUUUGUAGCUCAGUACCUAUGAACUACUAUUGCUUGUAGGAAAAUCUGGGCUGCAAGACUCAUUUCCCUUUUUUUACUGCUCUGUUUCU